UACAGAGGUCUCAAGCGUUGUUCGGAUUCAUUGGGCGUAAAGGGUGCGUAGGUGGCGGGGUAAGUCGGAUGUGAAAUCCCGGGGCUCAACCUCGGAACUGCAUUCGAUACUGCUUUGCUUGAGUACUGGAGAGGAGAUUGGAAUUUACGGUGUAGCAGUGAAAUGCGUAGAUAUCGUAAGGAAGACCAGUGGCGAAGGCGGGUCUCUGGACAGUUACUGACACUGAGGCACGAAGGCCAGGGGAGCAAACGGG
rnacentral:rRNA from 1 species